AGAAGGAAAGGAGUUGAAGCAGAGAGCAGUUUGGAGGGAAGCAGAGGAGAGUUUGGAGAAGUGCUGUGGUGGGCUAAGAAGACCAAGACCCUAGAAUACAAAAGUACAUGGAAAUCAGCAACACUCACACAUUAAUGCUUCAUCAGAACCCCUUUUUGAACAGCUGGUGUACAGAACUGUUGGUGAGAGAGCAGGAGAGGGGCAGACAUCUGCUGUGCUGCAUGAGUGGAGACAUCUUGUUCUUACCAAUAUUAGUUUUCUUCAUGCUCUCACUCAUUCCUGGAGAAGAGCCCUGCUGGUCCUUUACCAUGCAUGGAUGAUCAGCGCUGCCAGGGGGCUGAAAACAACAUUUUUAUAGAUUGGAAGCAUUGACGGGAAAGAGAGUCUAACACAAUGAGUAAAUUCAAGAGUAAAUACAUCGCUGCACCUGUCUCCUUCUCCACUUGAUCAUAAAUCCUGGACCACACUCAACAGACUACUCUCUGGCUUGUCCUGAGUUGUCGCAGCUAUGUACCAGCUUGGCCUGGUUUCCUCUCCACACUGUGACUAAAAGGCAGCACUGCAGACAAUAACUCAUGGUGGAAGAGUACUCAGUUUGACAGCUGGAAGGCAGUUUACAGUGCUUAGACUUCCUUGAGACAGAGGCUAUCCCCUGGUUAUGGAACCUGGAUAAUGAGCUCUGACACCAGCAGACAAGAGAAGGAGGAAGACCAUUUAAAACUGCCUGGAGCAAGCAGCCAGACAGCAUAGAGGAACUGUUGGUGAAACAAGAACUUGCUCUCUGUUGUGUGUUAGGACAUGAUGGAGGAAACCAGAGGUCCUCACCACAUGUUAACGUACUUGAUUUUCUGCUGAUGGAGUAGUCCCUAGUGUACUGCUCUAGCUGGCACAACAUGGAGCAGCUCUUUGGUUGCUCUAAAUUAUGCCGGGGUCAUUUCAGAUUCAUCUGUGGUAAGGAUCACAGGAAGCAUAAAGGUGGCUUUGGGCUAGUCUACAUGGGGAAGUUAUUGCAGAAUAAACUGUGUGUGAAUUUAAAGUGCAAUAGCUAAUCCAUGCGAACUCCCAAUAUGGGCACUUUUAUUCUGUACUGAGUUCCUUUUUAUGGUUUAACUUAAUCUCAUUCUGGUUUAUUUCCCUGUGAAGACAAACCCAUAGAGUCACCUCUGUCUUCUCUUAGCCUGAGCUAUACUGAGAAUGAUUUGGUGCAAUUUAGGAUUGAACCUGUAGUAUUCCCCAUUCUCUCUCUCUCUCUCUCUCUCUCUCCCUUUCACCCCCUUUGCACCUAUCCAGCAAUUUGAGCUAACGCUCCCAGUGCACCAGGUGCGACAGAAUUGAGUCACAUGAACAAUGUAAACAGUCUGUGUGAGAGAUGCUAUAUCAAA